rnacentral:rRNA from 1 species
CCUACGGGAGGCAGCAGUGGGGAAUAUUGCACAAUGGGCGCAAGCCUGAUGCAGCCAUGCCGCGUGUGUGAAGAAGGCCUUCGGGUUGUAAAGCACUUUCAGCGGGGAGGAAGGCGGUGAGGUUAAUAACCUCAUCGAUUGACGUUACCCGCAGAAGAAGCACCGGCUAACUCCGUGCCAGCAGCCGCGGUAAUACGGAGGGUGCAAGCGUUAAUCGGAAUUACUGGGCGUAAAGCGCACGCAGGCGGUCUGUCAAGUCGGAUGUGAAAUCCCCGGGCUCAACCUGGGAACUGCAUUCGAAACUGGCAGGCUAGAGUCUUGUAGAGGGGGGUAGAAUUCCAGGUGUAGCGGUGAAAUGCGUAGAGAUCUGGAGGAAUACCGGUGGCGAAGGCGGCCCCCUGGACAAAGACUGACGCUCAGGUGCAAAAGCGUGGGGAGCAAACAGGAUUAGAUACCCUUGUAGUC